UAAGGAAUAUUGGUCAAUGGAGGCAACUCUGAACCAGCCAUGCCGCGUGCAGGAAGACGGCCCUCUGGGUUGUAAACUGCUUUUAUUCGGGAAUAAACCUAUCUACGUGUAGAUAGCUGAAUGUACCGAAGGAAUAAGGAUCGGCUAACUCCGUGCCAGCAGCCGCGGUAAUACGGAGGAUCCAAGCGUUAUCCGGAUUUAUUGGGUUUAAAGGGUGCGUAGGCGGCCUAUUAAGUCAGGGGUGAAAGACGGUAGCUCAACUAUCGCAGUGCCCUUGAUACUGAUGGACUUGAAUGAAAUAGAGGUAGGCGGAAUGUGACAAGUAGCGGUGAAAUGCAUAGAUAUGUCACAGAACACCGAUUGCGAAGGCAGCUUACUAUGGUUUUAUUGACGCUGAGGCACGAAAGCGUGGGGAUCAAACA
rnacentral:rRNA from 1 species